CCUACGGGUGGCAGCAGUGGGGAAUAUUGCACAAUGGGCGAAAGCCUGAUGCAGCAACGCCGCGUGAGCGAUGAAGGCCUUCGGGUCGUAAAGCUCUGUCCUCAAGGAAGAUAAUGACGGUACUUGAGGAGGAAGCCCCGGCUAAAUACGUGCCAGCAGCCGCGGUAAUAAGCAGGGGGCUAUCGUUAUCCGGAAUUACUGGGCGUAAAGGGUGCGUAGGUGGUUUCUUAAGUACGGGGUGAAAAGGUAGGGUUAAACCGUAGAAAGCUUUUGACACUGGGGAAUUUGAGUGCGGGAGAGGAGAGUGGAAUGCCUAGUGUAGCGGUGAAAUGCGUAGAUAUUAGGAAGAACACCAGUUGCGAAGGCGGCUCUCUGGACUGUAACUGACACUGAGGCACGAAAGCGUGGGGAGCAAACAGGAUUAGAUACCCCUGUAGUC
rnacentral:rRNA from 1 species